UACGUAGGGGGCAAGCGUUGUCCGGAAUUAUUGGGCGUAAAGAGCGUGUAGGCGGUCCGGUAAGUCAGCUGUGAAAGUCAAGGGCUCAACCCUUGAAAGCCGGUUGAUACUGUCGGGCUAGAGUCCGGAAGAGGCGAGUGGAAUUCCCGGUGUAGCGGUGAAAUGCGCAGAUAUCGGGAGGAACACCAAUUGCGAAGGCAGCUCGUUACACGAAUAUUGACUCUGAGGCUCGAAAGCGUGGGGGAUCAAACAGG
rnacentral:rRNA from 1 species